rnacentral:rRNA from 1 species
AACCGCUGGCGGCGUGCCUAACACAUGCAAGUCGAACGGGUAAAGUUGCUUCGGCAAUUUACUUAGUGGCGAACGGGUGAGUAACGCGUGAGAAACCUGCCUUCAGUGGGGGACAACAGUUGGAAACGACUGCUAAUACCGCAUAAUGUAUUUAGGGGCAUCCCUUGGAUACCAAAGCUUAAUGUGCUGAAAGAUGGUCUCGCGUCUGAUUAGCUAGUUGGUGGGGUAACGGCUCACCAAGGCGACGAUCAGUAGCCGGUCUGAGAGGAUGAACGGCCACAUUGGGACUGAGAUACGGCCCAGACUCCUACGGGAGGCAGCAGUGGGGAAUAUUGGGCAAUGGGGGCAACCCUGACGCAGCAACGCCGCGUGAAGGAUGAAGGUCUUCGGAUUGUAAACUUUUGUCUUAAGGGAAGAAAAUGACGGUACCUUAGGAGGAAGCCACGGCUAACUACGUG